rnacentral:rRNA from 1 species
AUGCUAGCAGAAAUGAAUCUUCUACAUCAUUACCACAGACCGAUUGCACAAUCUAAUUGUCGUCCUGUGGUGAUUCUGGCGAUAGUUCUUCGGCUCUCCCCCACGAGAACCGGAGCAGGAAUUGCAAGAAGAAUAUAUACCCGAUUCCCUCCGUCCCGAGCUCAAAUCUUGUUUUCCCCCAUCUGCUUGAUCGCCUCGCCUCCCUCGUUUCUUCGUCUCGCGCGACUCGGCCAGGGGGAUCCGGCGCGGAGAGGAAUGACAUCGCCGAUGUCCGGAGACGCACGCACGCCGCCCCGUGGGGCGGCGCCUUACGCUCUGUACCAGUUCGGCACCAGCGGCGCCGCCGUCGCCGUCGCCACCGCCGUCACGCAUCCGCUCGACGUUAUCAAAAUUAGACUCCAAAUGCAGCUUGCUGGGCAAAGAGGAAACUUAGUUGGAAUGGGGGCAAUAUUUACACAAAUGGUAGAAAGGGAAGGGCCUCGAUCACUCUAUCUGGGAUUUGCACCAGCAUUGACUAGAUCCCUCAUCUAUGGUGGCCUUCGAUUAGGAUUGUAUGAGCCCUGCAAACAUGUCUGCAGCUACGCAUUUGGUUCAACAAACUUUGCUUUUAAAUUUGCAUCCGGAGUAGUUGCUGGUGCCCUAGCAACUGCAUUGACAAACCCGAUGGAGGUUUUAAAGGUGAGAUCACAGAUGAGUACAAGCAGAAUUAGUACAAUUGGAGUGACGAGGGAAAUUGUAUCAGAGGAAGGAGUCAAAGCGCUUUGGAAAGGAGUUGGCCCAGCUAUGGUGAGAGCAGGCUGCCUCACGGCAUCACAAAUGGCAACUUAUGAUGAGGCCAAACAGGUCUUGCUGAUGUGGACACCACUUGAAGAAGGUCGAGCUGCAUCGCUGGAACAGCUGGUACACUUGUGA